rnacentral:ribozyme from 1 species
GAGCAAGUGAAAAUGGAAAAAAAGAAAGAGAUGAAGAAAGGAAGAAAAAGAAGAGGAGGAAGACGAAUGAAGAAAGUAAAAGAGUGAAUGUUGGGAUGUACAUCGUCCCUUCGUCCCCAACCCCUUCCUCCCCUUCUUCUUCUUCUUCUUC